UCCGUAGGUGAACCUGAGGAGGGAUCAUUA
rnacentral:rRNA from 1 species